UCCCGUGUGGCUCAGUAGAGCAUGGCGCUUGCAACGCCAGGGUUGGGGGUUAAAUUCCCACGGGGA
rnacentral:tRNA from 1 species